UACAGAGGGGGCAAGCGUUGUUCGGAAUUACUGGGCGUAAAGGGCGCGUAGGCGGCCGCCUAAGUCAGACGUGAAAUCCCUCGGCUCAACCGGGGAACUGCGUCUGAUACUGGGUGGCUUGAAUCCGGGAGAGGGAUGCGGAAUUCCAGGUGUAGCGGUGAAAUGCGUAGAUAUCUGGAGGAACACCGGUGGCGAAGGCGGCAUCCUGGACCGACAUUGACGCUGAGGAGCGAAAGCUAGGGGAGCAAACGGG
rnacentral:rRNA from 1 species